AGAGUUUGAUCCUGGCUCAGGAUGAACGCCGGCGGUGUGCCUAAUACAUGCAAGUCGUACGCACUGGCCCAAGAUUGAUGGUGCUUGCACCUGAUUGACGAUGGAUCACCAGUGAGUGGCGGACGGGUGAGUAACACGUAGGUAACCUGCCCCGGAGCGGGGAUAACAUUUGGAAACAGAUGCUAAUACCGCAUAACAACAAAAGUCAUGGCUUUUGUUUGAAAGAUGGCUUUGGCUAUCACUCUGGGAUGGACCUGCGGUGCAUUAGCUAGUUGGUAAGGUAACGGCUUACCAAGGCGAUGAUGCAUAGCCGAGUUGAGAGACUGAUCGGCCACAAUGGAACUGAGACACGGUCCAUACUCCUACGGGAGGCAGCAGUAGGGAAUCUUCCACAAUGGGCGCAAGCCUGAUGGAGCAACACCGCGUGAGUGAAGAAGGGUUUCGGCUCGUAAAGCUCUGUUGUUGGAGAAGAACGUGCGUGAGAGUAACUGUUCACGCAGUGACGGUAUCCAACCAGAAAGUCACGGCUAACUACGUGCCAGCAGCCGCGGUAAUACGUAGGUGGCAAGCGUUAUCCGGAUUUAUUGGGCGUAAAGCGAGCGCAGGCGGUUGCUUAGGUCUGAUGUGAAAGCCUUCGGCUUAACCGAAGAAGUGCAUCGGAAACCGGGCGACUUGAGUGCAGAAGAGGACAGUGGAACUCCAUGUGUAGCGGUGGAAUGCGUAGAUAUAUGGAAGAACACCAGUGGCGAAGGCGGCUGUCUGGUCUGCAACUGACGCUGAGGCUCGAAAGCAUGGGUAGCGAACAGGAUUAGAUACCCUGGUAGUCCAUGCCGUAAACGAUGAGUGCUAGGUGUUGGAGGGUUUCCGCCCUUCAGUGCCGGAGCUAACGCAUUAAGCACUCCGCCUGGGGAGUACGACCGCAAGGUUGAAACUCAAAGGAAUUGACGGGGGCCCGCACAAGCGGUGGAGCAUGUGGUUUAAUUCGAAGCUACGCGAAGAACCUUACCAGGUCUUGACAUCUUGCGCUAACCUUAGAGAUAAGGCGUUCCCUUCGGGGACGCAAUGACAGGUGGUGCAUGGUCGUCGUCAGCUCGUGUCGUGAGAUGUUGGGUUAAGUCCCGCAACGAGCGCAACCCUUGUUACUAGUUGCCAGCAUUAAGUUGGGCACUCUAGUGAGACUGCCGGUGACAAACCGGAGGAAGGUGGGGACGACGUCAGAUCAUCAUGCCCCUUAUGACCUGGGCUACACACGUGCUACAAUGGACGGUACAACGAGUCGCAAGCUCGCGAGAGUAAGCUAAUCUCUUAAAGCCGUUCUCAGUUCGGACUGUAGGCUGCAACUCGCCUACACGAAGUCGGAAUCGCUAGUAAUCGCGGAUCAGCAUGCCGCGGUGAAUACGUUCCCGGCCUUGUACACACCGCCCGUCACACCAUGGGAGUUUGUAACGCCCAAAGUCGGUGGCCUAACCUUUAUGGAGGGAGCCGCCUAAGGCGGGACAGAUGACUGGGGUGAAGUCGUAACAAGGUAGCCGUAGGAGAACCUGCGGCUG
rnacentral:rRNA from 1 species